rnacentral:tRNA from 1 species
UCCCUGAUGGUCCUAUGGGUAAGACUCUGCACUCCCAAUGAAGAGGGUUCAUCCUUUAUCCAGCCUGGGUUCCAUCCCUGGUCAGGGAA